rnacentral:rRNA from 1 species
UAGAGUUUGAUCCUGGCUCAGGAUGAACGCUAGCGGCAGGCUUAACACAUGCAAGUCGAGGGGCAUCGGGAGGGAAGCUUGCUUUCCUUGCCGGCGACCGGCGCACGGGUGAGUAACACGUAUGCAACCUGCCCUCUUCAGGGGGACAACCUUCCGAAAGGGAGGCUAAUCCCGCGUAUAUCGGUUUCGGGCAUCCGAGAUCGAGGAAAGAUUCAUCGGAAGAGGAUGGGCAUGCGGCGCAUUAGCUUGACGGCGGGGUAACGGCCCACCGUGGCGACGAUGCGUAGGGGUUCUGAGAGGAAGGUCCCCCACACUGGUACUGAGACACGGACCAGACUCCUACGGGAGGCAGCAGUGAGGAAUAUUGGUCAAUGGGAGAGAUCCUGAACCAGCCAAGCCGCGUGAGGGAAGACGGCCCUAUGGGUUGUAAACCUCUUUUGUCGGAGAACAAAACCCGGGACGUGUCCCGGACUGCGUGUAUCCGAAGAAAAAGCAUCGGCUAACUCCGUGCCAGCAGCCGCGGUAAUACGGAGGAUGCGAGCGUUAUCCGGAUUUAUUGGGUUUAAAGGGUGCGUAGGCGGUCCGUUAAGUCAGCGGUAAAAUUGCGGGGCUCAACCCCGUCGAGCCGUUGAAACUGGCAGACUUGAGUUGGCGAGAAGUACGCGGAAUGCGCGGUGUAGCGGUGAAAUGCAUAGAUAUCGCGCAGAACUCCGAUUGCGAAGGCAGCGUACCGGCGCCGCACUGACGCUGAGGCACGAAAGCGUGGGGAUCGAACAGGAUUAGAUACCCUGGUA